rnacentral:rRNA from 1 species
UACGUAGGGUGCAAGCGUUGUCCGGAAUUAUUGGGCGUAAAGGGCUCGUAGGCGGUCCAUCGCGUCGGGAGUGAAAAGCUGGGGCUUAACCCCAGUCCUGCUUCCGAUACGGGUGGACUAGAGGUAGGUAGGGGAGAUCGGAAUUCCUGGUGUAGCGGUGAAAUGCGCAGAUAUCAGGAGGAACACCAAUGGCGAAGGCAGCUCGCUGGAACGGAACUGACGCUGAGGCGCGAAAGCGUGGGGAGCGAACAGG